UACAGAGGGGGCAAGCGUUGUUCGGAAUUACUGGGCGUAAAGGGCGCGUAGGCGGCCUGUUAAGUCGAACGUGAAAUCCCCGGGCUCAACCCGGGAACUGCGUCCGAAACUGGCAGGCUUGAAUCCGGGAGAGGGAUGUGGAAUUCCAGGUGUAGCGGUGAAAUGCGUAGAGAUCCGGAGGAACACCAGUGGCGAAGGCGACACGCUGGGCCGUACCUGACACUGAUGCGCGACAGCAUGGG
rnacentral:rRNA from 1 species